CCAAUGGAGCUUGAACCUGAGCUUUCCAUUUACAAUUUUUUUUUUUUUAAUUUACUAUCUAUCGCAUUAUUAGAUCUUUCUUGUGCCAUAGUUUAUUUUCUAUUCCUUGCUUGUUGUUGAUUCUGUUAGUGGUCUCUAUUUGAUAAAGUGGGAGAUCUAUAGGUUCUUAUGGUUAUCUUGUAGGGUAUGCUUUGAAUGGGGUUUGUUUGUGGCAUCCAAAGCGUGGUUUCCUGUUGGACGUUUUCUUUUAUGUCCUGCCUGACUUGUAGCUAAGAUGCUCAGAACUACCAUCGCCUUCUCUGUCAAACUGCUCCCCUACUCUGAAAUUAAGUCCACUAACGGUUUCACAGCUCUUGCAUUAAUGCCCCUCUCUUUGUUCUAUUUCAUAGACAGAGCUUGUAGAGCGUUGUGAGCGCGUCUUUCUUCCCUCGAUUUGAUCCAUUCAGGAGCAAAGAAACCAACGGUGAGAUCACUUAGGAAGCACCGAUUGAAACCUUGUUUUCUUUGAUUAACGAGAGGCUAAGUAGAGCACAUGCGGGAUGCGGCGUUUUUGACACCUCUAUACCGGGUUUUCAAAACACAAACCAGAGGCUUUUUGGCUCUGGCAUUCUGGCAUUCGUGAUGGGGGACUUAUUCCCUUUGUAGAGAGAGAGAUUUAACAAAGUACUUACCGGUGCUCUUGUUGGAGGUGGUGACGAAGCUUUUGUUGAACCGAUUUUUGAGAGAGCAUUAAACAGGUCACAAGAAGCGUAUCUCCCCUUUCGCUAAAUGGAAUUUUAGCGUUCAACACUGUAGUUGAACAGUUUCUCCGUCUCUCACAAAUGUGUGUCUCGUUCUUCUCACCAUUUUUUCUUUUGUCUCAAACAGUUCGUACGUAUACCUGUUGCAUGACAGAUAUUCUUUCCAUCCUCUCUUUAGAUUAGUCUCAUUCUUCUCACCAUUUUUCUUUCUUUCCAUCCCUUAAUCCCCUGUUUUUCUCUCUCCCUCCGUAUCGUCACCGCCCCCCUCAGAGCGGUAGAUAAGACCAUCCCUUCUUCCCCCUGUUUUUCUAGAGACUGAGAUUGAGGACGAUAUGCGUUAUAAGCUGUCUCUCUCAUGAAGAUGUAUCGCUCAUGCAGGAACACUGGCAUCGCCUCUCCGCAGGUGUAGAAUGUCGUCGACAUGGCGAAGGCAAAGAAUCCCAGUCGCUCUUGGAUGCCGAGAGUUGUCUACAUGCCAGAAUAUGGUAGCCAAGAUGAUACCAGUUACCAAAACUGCUCCUAAACGGACCCCAACCAUUUGGACCUGAGCUCCUGCAGCAAUUUGGAAUGUAUCUUCUUCCUGUUCUGAUACAGAUCUAUCGAUCUAGUAUGAGUGGUCCGGUUUGCCACAAAUGUUUGUAAAAUUGAUGUAUUUUAGCACAGCUAGCAGAUAUGAUUCAGUCUUUACUAAGUGUAACAAACAUAUCAAGUUUCUUAGCUGGUGUUUUAGCGUGGAAAGAUCCACAAGUAUUGAUUCCUGCCCUUCAGAUAGCAGAGACUCUUAUGGAAAAGCUUCCUGAAACAUUUUCCAAGAUGUUUGUGAGAGAGGGGGUGGUUCAUGCUGUAGAUACACUUAAAUUAACUGAUUCUUCAAAGUACAGCUAUUGUCCAAUCAUCUUCUGUUGAAAAAGAUAAUGAUUAUGUACCUGGAACAUCAUCACGUUUCAGGUGCUAUCAGCAAGCAGUGGUUGUUCAAAUGCAGAUGUAAAUCCCUUGGAAGAAUCAAAAAGUGUUAUACCUGGCAAUGUUGGUUCACCGCCAGCAUCAGUAGAAAUCCCAACUGUUAAUUCUAGCUUCGCACAACCGUAAGUGUUUGUGCAAAAGCUUUUAAAGAUAAAUAUUUUUCAGCAGAUAGCAAGGCAGCUGAAGUCGGUGUAACUGAUGACCUAUGCUUGAAAAACCUAUGUUCGAAGUUGAAUGCUUGUGUUGAUGAUCAAAAGACUAAAUCAAAGGGUAAAUUAAAGGCUUCUGGCCCUCGCCUAGCUGACCUUUCAGCUAAUACAGAGG